ACGUGUCCCUCCCUCUUCUUUGUUUUCCAGACUCUGACUUUCUCAAAGCGGCACCCUGACUUUGCCCAGCCCUGCAUCAGGAGGUGUGCAGGCCAGGGGGAGACCAAGGCCAACAGCAUUCUCGUGCAGUCCUUGUCUGUUUCCCACUGAACCCUCCAGAGACCAGCAGGGAGGGCCCCUGAGACCAGAGAGCAGAGUCCUGGGCAGGCUGACUCAGUUGCUCGAAUCCUCCCUCCAAGGCCAAGAACACCUGUGAUCCUGGUUCAGGCCAGCUUUCUCCUCCCAGAGGAAAGCUCGGACCCCUGCCAUCACCUCGCCGCCGAAUCCUGUCGGGGUCAAGCAUUUGGUGGGCUUCCACUGGGCGCCACCGACUCUGCCGGAUUUUGUGAUGAAUGUAAAAAACUGGAAGAUCCAGUGCCUGGUGCAGAGUAGGCAUUCAAUAAGUUAUCAUCGAAGGAAUGAAUAAGAGAGUUCUUCCUUCGAAGAGUUCAUAUUCCAGUCUGGAGGAAACUGGCAACCACCACAGAGAGGCAGAAUUGGAAGAGGGAGAAGGGCUGUCUGGACUGGUGGGAUAACCCCGAUGUGAAACGGGCUCACAGACUGUAAGCCUCUUGAAGUCUGAAUGUUUCCUGGUUGGCAGUGAUCUCUCCAGCAUUGGUCACAGUGCCCAGAACGGGGCUCCCACCUGCACUGAUAUCACCUGGGGCACUGGGCAGGUAAGCACCAGGUACUCAUGCACCCUAAAGCUCAGAAACACUGCAGCCCCCAUCACACAACUUCGU